rnacentral:sRNA from 1 species
GCUUCUUCCCAGGUUUUAAAGGGAAGCCUCUCUCUCUCUCCCUUUAAAGACCUAUCAUGCAGUAUCUGACAGAAUCUCUGUGCCUUUCUAAUGUUCUCCCACAUCAAGGCUCAAUAGUAGACCACAUGGUCUUGAAGCCAUCUCUCCUAAUACAGUCAAUUCAUGAAGGCAUUUUCACGCCAGUUCUUUUCCUAAACCAGCCAACCUGUCUGUCAUCCUUUUUCUCUAACACAGCUUAUUCACAGACAAGAGGGAUCUAGAACAGGACAUGACAGAGAGAGGGGAGACUGAAAAUAAGCUAGAUUUACAACCUUGGGACAUCAGAGCCUUGGGAAGAUGAUAUAGUUAACCAGCUAUGUUGCUGGUGUGACCCUUAGUUCAGAGACAGGGAUGAGCUAGCCCUCAGACACAUAGCAAUUAACAGUGAGGCAAGGACUCUGUGAGCUUCACAAUCCUGCUCCCUUGAACCUAGGCCCAAUUGGAAUAAAAUGAAAUGAAGGAGGGCAUGAGAAAAGGGGACAGUGGGCAGAGGGACUGAUCAUGAACACCCAUUGUCACCACCACAGCUUCAAUGGACAAGGAAACUGGUGUUCCUCCGGAUUAAACUGUUUUUCUUGCUUUUCUGAUGAGAAAUGAAGUCUCAGAUACCACAGGCCCACCCAGUGCACACCCUUCAAAAGCAGGAGAUAACUCUCCUAAAAACCUGUGCACACUCAGCAUGCACUAAAGUUCUCUGUCCUCUGAUCUGGCAAAAUGAACAGACACGUGUCACCUAGAGUCCUGGCUCAUUCAGGAAAGAGCCCAGCCAGUGAGCUGUAAGAAACACCACCCCCAUCACCACCCGCUGACUGAAGGAGGAGCACCAGGGUACAGUCUUGUCACCCUUCUACAGACAGGUGAACUUUGGACAGUGAAGAAGGGUGACCGGCCCUCAGAGUGGAGGAACUGGACAGUUGGAGUUGCUUCAGGAGGCCACAGGAAACCAAAGAGCCCAGGUGCCAGUGGCUGGGUGGGGGCACCAGUGUGACCCACUGCUUAAACAACAAUGGGCUUCUGGAGUUGGAGCUGCACAGCCAGGUACCCAAUACCUUUUCCUCUUUCCAACACCGCCAAAGCAUGGCAUCCAACAUCUUCUGUUGCUGUUACAAGGCCAGUGAUUCAACUAGCAACAGUGCCAGUCACCUCUCUACAAGAGUGGCCCAACAGAAUCACCCACUGUGGGGCAGAUGCUUCAUAACACCAGACAGAAGAACUGGUAUGAACAGAAAUGCUCCUCAAAGGGGUAUUCAAAGGAGACACUCAUUCAACCUCUCAAACAACUGGAUUAAGCUAUGCAGCCUCAGGAGACCCUGAAGGUUCUAGAGGCAGCAGGCCAUGGUCUCUGAGCUGUGCAGCUGCUGGAGGGUCUCCAUGAGGAUGAAGAAGGCAGUGGACAGGAGUCAUGAAGACUGAUUCAGAAACUCCACCGCAAGGAGGGAAGAGGUCUGAGCCAUCCCUGUGCCACCAGCACGAGUCACCCCAGCUCCUGACAGCCAGGGAGGGGGGCUGCCUGCAAUUAAAGUCCUUGUUUGCAUCAGA